rnacentral:rRNA from 1 species
GACGAACGCUGGCGGCGUGCUUAACACACGCAAGUCGAGCGGUAAGGCCCGUUUCGGGGGUACGACGAGCGGCGAACGGGUGAGUAACACGUGGGUGACCUGCCCUCAGCUCUGGGAUAAGCCUGGGAAACCGGGUCUAAUACUGGAUAUGACUCCAUGACGCAUGUUGUGGGGUGGAAAGCCUUGUGCGGCUGAGGAUGGGCCCGCGGCCUAUCAGCUUGUUGGNGGGGUGAGGCCUACCAAGGCGACGACGGGUAGCCGGCCUGAGAGGGCGACCGGCCACACUGGG